UCCCCCUUCCCGGCCUCCCCAUCGGGGACCCGCCCCGUCGGCGCCGAGUGACGAUCGCGACCCGGCUACUCCUCCUCCUCCUCCCUCUUCCCCUUGCCGCCGGCAUGCCGAAGCUGAGCAAGGAGGCCAAGCAGCGGCUGCAGCAGCUCUUCAAGGGCGGCCAGUUCGCCAUCCGCUGGGGCUUCAUCCCCGUCGUGCUCUACCUAGGUUUUAAGAGGGGUGCAGAUCCGGGAAUGCCCGAGCCGACAAUCUGGAGUGCUCAACGAUUUGCAUUCAUGUUACGGGGACCUCUCCAUGCUAGUGGAAUAUAAAUGACAAAAGACAAAUGGAUUAGAUCACCAAGAGUCGUUAACAUCUCAGCAAUAAUAUGUUGAUUUCUCCUACCUGGGGAAAGAUCCUAAGAUUUUUUUUUCUACAUCCUGGGGGAAAGGGAGAGAUGUUUGGUCAAACUUGGAAAAUUCCCUUGAAUGACAGCAGUCUUAUCCGACUUCAGCUUUGUGAGGAGGGAUUUCUGGGUAGCUGAAUCUGGGAUGACCACUUCAUCAGGAUUUACCACCUGUGAAAAACAGAAUAUUGAGGUGCCCUUGUUAAAGUGGUUUAAACAAUCGUGCCAGAAGUGAUUGGUUUAUGCAUAAGAAUAUGUUCCAACCACCUGCAUAUCCACCCAUUCUGUGCAGCUGCUGGCAGACCUCCCUGCAACCUGUGUGUAUCUACAGCUCCACUUCUGCGGUGGGAUUUGAGUCGAAUGUGCUGCACUGAACAGAUCAAUACACGUUUGCCUGGUGUCCGCUCACCAUGUGGUUAGCUGGGAAGAUGCUGAACAUGAUAUGUCCUAAUCCAUACUGGCUGCUGUAUCCUGAAUCAUAAGUUAAUUAGGUGACAUUCAUGUACUCUCACAUUUGGUAGUAGAUUAACGGUUUUCAAAAGACGCCAAACUUGUCUAGCUGCUUAAUUCCUACUUUCCAGGCAUUGAGGUGCAUGGAAGAUUAAGCAUUACCACUUUCACUGGUGUGUGGGAUCCUAAGAACAAGACAAGUAAGAGAAGUUUCAUAUCUAAUUCUAACAGUCAGCACUGGGAACUGGAUACCCGAAUGGUUUCGAAGAGCUUGUCCCAUGGUGUGGCUGGAUGACUUUUUAAAAUGGGACUUACCCAAAUCAUGGAGCAGUUUCAGUUCAGUUUCUAGAAGUCUAAUAAUAAAGUAUCUUCUUCAUCCUGUUUUUAAGAUCUGUCCUACCGUUUAACAAGUGACAAAAGCACAUGCACCUCCUUCUGGAUUUUUUUUUUGUGUGUGAAAUUAAAGUAAUGAACAUUUAUUCCAUCUAGACUACUUGGAGGUGGAUUCUGAUCAUGUUUAGUUACUGGUAUAUCAGACACCUCUUUGCAUGCUUUUUUAAAAAAUUGGAUAUCCAGACAGAUAUCUUGCUAAUGGAUCGACUUGACCACAAAUGACUGAUACUUUCCACCUGCUCUCCUUGCCUUAAACAGCAGAGAGACUUCCCAUAAAGAAAAGUUUCCAACCUGCAGAUUUUCUCAAAAUCUCAACAAUUCCUACAAAUGUGGGGUUUGAUUUGACCAUCAUGUUUAAUUGUGCCUGUCCUAAUUACCUCUAGCUGUAUAAUUUUCAGAAAAGGUUAGUCUCACCCAGCUAUAAAACUUUCUACAAGCUAAUGUAUUGAGUUUGAAGUCAGUAGUCAGCUGCUGUCUUAUGACAGGACUAUUAUUCUUAGCAAGUACAGUGUGAAAAAAGCAGUUCAGCUUCCUUUCACUUAAAGAAUGAUGAACAUAAAUAAAUAUGUUAAGAAAGGUAUUAGAAACAAACAAUGGCCUUUUCAAUGCUGAAAAGCACCUUGAAGGAAAUAAUGUCCUGAGACUUCCGCAGUUCUUAAUUCUGGAAUCCUUACUCACCUGGGUGGUUCUUACUCAUACAAAGUUUCACUGAUGACAAAGGAAGCAUUCAUCUUAAGGAUUAUUAACAUGAGUAAGAACUGCAGCAAUGAAGCGAAUUUAAAGUGUGAUCUUUCAAAGCACUCCAAAACACACACAACAGCUGUCAGAAAUGAAUAGCCUUUAGUUUACCAAAUCAAAAGAUAAUCAGUUGUCUGUAAAGAAUAUAUAUAUAUAUUUUUUUUCCUCAUGAUGAUUGCAAGCAAAAUCAAGCUUUUCAAUAGGCAGCACCUUUAAUUUAGUUGGGUCAUUAACUUUUGUUCUGAAUUUACCUGUUUUCUUUGAUUUUAAGCUAGUGAUAUUUGAAUACACCACACAGCUCACCUGAAAAGUUUGUUUUGGAGAGUUUCAAAGAUUCAUAAUAUUGUAAAACUGUAUUUACUAUUAUUCAUGUAGGUUUUAAGAUAAGUUAUCGUAUUUCUUGGAAGUUUGCAACAUUAGGAGGUUAGGACUGAACUGCAAUUAGGAAAGAAUUUCUUGAGAAAUAUCAGUCAGGCAGCAUUAGCAUAUUUGUUCUUAAACAGAAAGCUGCAUUUAAGUGUCAGUUUGGAAACUAAAAAUGAAAAUAGAAAGUGGGAAGAAGAGUAGUUUCUUUAACAAAACAAACAAAA